rnacentral:rRNA from 1 species
AUUGAACGCUGGCGGCAGGCCUAACACAUGCAAGUCGAGCGAGCGGCGGAGGGGUGAGUAAUGUCUGGGAGACUGCCUGAGGGAGGGGGGUAACUACUGGAAACGGUAGCUAAUACCGCAUACCCUCAGAUGUGCCCAGAUGGGAUUAGCUAGUAGGUGGGGUAACGGCUCACCUAGGCGACGAUCCCUAGCUGGUCUGAGAGGAUGAGCCGCCACACUGGAACUGAGCCACGGUCCAGACUCCUACGGGAGGAAGCAGUGGGGAAUAUUGCACAAUGGGCGCAAGCCUGAUGCAGCCAUGCCGCGUGUGUGAAGAAGGCCUUCGGGUUGUAAAGUACUUUCAGCGGGGAGGCGUUACCCGCAGAAGAAGCACCGGCUAACUCCGUGCCAGCAGCCGCGGUAAUAC